UACGGGGGGGGCAAGCGUUGUUCGGAAUUACUGGGCGUAAAGGGCUCGUAGGUGGCCAACUAAGUCAUACGUGAAAUCCCUCAGCUUAACUGGGGAACUGCGUCUGAUACUGGAUGGCUUGAGUUUGGGAGAGGGAUGCGGAAUUCCAGGUGUAGCGGUGAAAUGCGUAGAUAUCUGGAGGAACACCGGUGGCGAAGGCGGGUUGCUGGGCUGACACUGACGCUGAUGCGCGAAAGCCAGGGGAGCGAACGGG
rnacentral:rRNA from 1 species